ACCCCUGUGGCUCAGUUGGUAGAGCAUGGUGUUUGCAAUGCCAGCAUGGUGUGUGCAACGCCAGGGUUGUGGGUUUGAUUCCCACGGGGGGCC
rfam:Salmo salar isolate Sally breed double haploid chromosome ssa16, whole genome shotgun sequence.